UGCGCAGGCGGACUGGUAAGUCAGAGGUGAAAUCUCGCCGCUUAACGGCGAAACUGCCUUUGAUACUAUCAGUCUUGAGUCCGGUAGAGAUCUGUGGAAUUCCGAGUGUAGCAGUGAAAUGUGUAGAUAUUCGGAAGAACACCAGUGGCGAAGGCAGCAGAUUGGGCCGGUACUGACGCUCAGGCACGAAAGCAUGGGGAUCAAACA
rnacentral:rRNA from 1 species